UACGGAAGGCAGCAGUGGGGAAUAUUGCACAAUGGGCGAAAGCCUGAUGCAGCUAUGCCGCGUGUAUGAAGAAGGCCUUAGGGUUGUAAAGUACUUUCAUCGGGGAGGAAAAAACAAAACUAAUAAUUUUAUUUCUUGACGUUACCCGAAAAAGAAGCACCGGCUAACUCCGUGCCAGCAGCCGCGGUAAUACGGAGGGUGCUAGCGUUAAUCAGAAUUACUGGGCGUAAAGAGCACGUAGGUGGUUUUUUUAAGUCAGAUGUGAAAUCCCUGGGCUUAACCUAGGAACUGCAUUUUGAAACUGAAAUACUAGAGUAUCGUAGAGGGAGGUAGAAUUCUAGGUGUAGCGGUGAAAUGCGUAGAUAUCUGGAGGAAUACCUGUGGCGAAAGCGGCCUCCUAAACGAAUACUGACACUGAGGUGCGAAAGCGUUGGGGAGCAAACAGGGAUUUAGGAUACC
rnacentral:rRNA from 1 species